GUCUGGAUUGAAGGAAAUUGCAAAGAAAACAUUGACCGGUAUAAAUAGUAGUGACAACACUGUUUAACCCAAGAUAAAGUGAUCAACAGAUUAAAGACCAUCAAAGGUGUUAAUUAGGCCAUAAACAUGUCACCUAAAAAAAAACAGUAACAUAAACAAAUGCUAUAAACGUAUCUUGAAUUGUCAAAUAAUUUUAAUCAAAAUCAAGCCCAGCAUGAAAUAAUUAUUUCCCAUAUGUACUAGAACUAUGAGGAUAUAAAAUGAACUCCUUAUCAUACUAGCAUAUCAAUACUGGAAAUCUGACAUUCAUCGAUCAAAAAUAUUUUUUAUGAGAAUUAAAAGAUCAAAAGUUGUACAGUUUAGGUUAUUAAAGAUUACAUGGGUAUAACCCUGCAUGCAGUUGUAGUUCUGUGACUGCUAUUAAAGUAUUCUCAGAUUUAACGUUGUUUAAUAUAUUCUCUAGAUUAUAUCAGUAGUCAAAACCUACAUGGGGAUCUUUCCAUGUCUUGAUUUGGACAAUGGUUGUUUUAUUUCGUUGGACACUUAAAUUCGUGGAUAAAGUCACCCACGAAAGCCACGAAUAUUGGUACCCCACGAAUAAAAGUACUUUCACAGUAUUUU
rnacentral:lncRNA from 1 species